AGAGUUUGAUCAUGGCUCAGGAUGAACGCUAGCUACAGGCUUAACACAUGCAAGUCGAGGGGAAACGACAUCGAAAGCUUGCUUUUGAUGGGCGUCGACCGGCGCACGGGUGAGUAACGCGUAUCCAACCUGCCCACCACUUGGGGAUAACCUUGCGAAAGUAAGACUAAUACCCAAUGAUAUCUACUAGGAAGACAUCUGAAAGAGAUUAAAGAUUUAUCGGUGAUGGAUGGGGAUGCGUCUGAUUAGCUUGUUGGCGGGGUAACGGGCCCACCAAGGCAACGAUCAGUAGGGGUUCUGAGAGGAAGGUCCCCCACAUUGGAACUGAGACACGGUCCAAACUCCUACGGGAGGCAGCA
rnacentral:rRNA from 1 species